AAUAUCAUGUGUUUGAGUACCAGAUUGAUUGAUCCUUCACAAUCAUUUGUAAGGAACUUAUUUUGUUGCUGCAAAAUUCAACAUAAACAAUUGGUUGCCAUUACAGAUGUUUUGUUGCAGCCAGAAAUGUGCAACAAGCUAGACAUGAGAGUUAAAAGGAUACGAGCUAGAAAUGUGCUACAAUUGGUUGCCAUUACAUAUGUUUUUGUUGCAGCAAGAAACGUGCUACAAGCUAGACAUGAUAGAGUUAAAAGGCCAGGAAGAACUCCGAUUCUAAAUAAUCCUAAAGCCCUUGAGACUUCGAAGAUAGUUUGCUAA